UACGAAGGGGGCGAGCGUUGUUCGGAUUUACUGGGCGUAAAGGGCGCGCAGGCGGCUAUUUUUGUCAGGCGUGAAAGCCCCGGGCUUAACCUGGGAACCGCGCUUGAGACGGGAUGGCUAGAGAUCGGGAGAGGAGAGUGGAAUUCCCAGUGUAGAGGUGAAAUUCGUAGAUAUUGGGAGGAACACCAGUGGCGAAGGCGGCUCACUGGACCGGUACUGACGCUGAGACGCGAAAGCGUGGGGAGCGAACAGG
rnacentral:rRNA from 1 species